UACGGAGGGUGCAAGCGUUAUCCGGAUUUACUGGGUUUAAAGGGUGCGUAGGUGGGUCUGUAAGUCAGUGGUGAAAUCUCCGAGCUUAACUCGGAAACUGCCAUUGAUACUAUAGAUCUUGAAUAUUCUGGAGGUGAGCGGAAUAUGUCAUGUAGCGGUGAAAUGCUUAGAUAUGACAUAGAACACCAAUUGCGAAGGCAGCUCACUACGGGAUUAUUGACACUGAGGCACGAAAGCGUGGGGAUCAAACAGG
rnacentral:rRNA from 1 species